UGCAACCUGCACAUACCUGAAACAAAGAAAAACAACAGAGAGUGAUCAAUAUUAGGAACAAUGAAUGAUAAGCUUCUGUUUUAGAGAAAGAAAUAAAAAAAUCUGUGUAACUCUAAGAGAUAAGGUGAUGGAGGUAAUAAUAAACUCACGGUGGCGUUAGAAAAUAAAAUCCUGAAAACAAUUUUGCAUCCAGCGUUUGAAUAUUGUCCAUGUCCUUCAUAAUCGACCAAUCAGCCUCCGCUUUGCAUCGUUAACUUUUAGCUGGGGAUAUGUCU
rnacentral:lncRNA from 1 species